rnacentral:lncRNA from 1 species
AGCAGGGCGAGACGUCUGGACUUACCCCCAGGAAGCGAACAAGUCUUGGAUAGAACGCACAAUCCUGUCAGCAUCCUGCAAAGAAGAUUGCCAAUAUUAAAAAUCCUCACUACAACGAACAAGAUGGAAAUAGAAGUGAAGCAAAGACUACCUCGUCGACAAUCGUAGAAGAUGGCGUGCCCUCAGCCAAGCUUGCCACCAACGACUCAUCCAUUCGUGAGGACUUCCCCUUGUCCGAGCGAGAAGAUGUUGCCACAACGGGCGGACUCAUAG